rnacentral:rRNA from 1 species
GAACUAAGCAUAUCAAUAAGCGGAGGAAAAGAAACCAACAGGGAUUGCCUCAGUAACGGCGAGUGAAGCGGCAACAGCUCAAAUUUGAAAUCUGACCCCUUCGGGGCCCGAGUUGUAAUUUGUAGAGGAUGCUUCGGGUGCGGCGCCGGUCUAAGUUCCUUGGAACAGGACGUCAUAGAGGGUGAGAAUCCCGUAUGCGACCGGCGGUCAACCCCAUGUGAAGCCCCUUCGACGAGUCGAGUUGUUUGGGAAUGCAGCUCAAAAUGGGUGGUGAAUUUCAUCUAAAGCUAAAUACCGGCCAGAGACCGAUAGCGCACAAGUAGAGUGAUCGAAAGAUGAAAAGCACUUUGGAAAGAGAGUCAAACAGUACGUGAAAUUGUUGAAAGGGAAGCGCUUGCAACCAGACCUGCCCCCGGGCGAUCAGCCGUUAUUUUUAGCGGUGCACUCGUCCGCGAUCAGGCCAGCAUCGGUUCGGGCGGCCGGAUAAAGGCCUCGGGAAUGUAGCUCCCCCCGGGGAGUCUUAUAGCCCGAGGUGCAAUGCGGCCAGCCCGGACCGAGGACCGCGCUUCGGCUAGGAUGCUGGCGUAAUGGUUGUAAGCGACCCGUCUUGAAACACGGACC